rnacentral:rRNA from 1 species
CCUACGGGAGGCAGCAGUAGGGAAUCUUCGGCAAUGGACGAAAGUCUGACCGAGCAACGCCGCGUGAGUGAAGAAGGUUUUCGGAUCGUAAAACUCUGUUGUUAGAGAAGAACAAGUGAGAGAGUAACUGUUCUCACCUUGACGGUAUCUAACCAGAAAGCCACGGCUAACUACGUGCCAGCAGCCGCGGUAAUACGUAGGUGGCAAGCGUUGUCCGGAUUUAUUGGGCGUAAAGCGAGCGCAGGCGGUUCCUUAAGUCUGAUGUGAAAGCCCCCGGCUCAACCGGGGAAGGUCAUUGGAAACUGGGGAACUUGAGUGCAGAAGAGGAGAGUGGAAUUCCAUGUGUAGCGGUGAAAUGCGUAGAUAUAUGGAGGAACACCAGUGGCGAAGGCGACUCUCUGGUCUGUAACUGACGCUGAGGCUCGAAAGCGUGGGGAGC